GGAGGGGUGUCCGAGUGGUUUAUGGAGCUAGUCUUGAAAACUAGUGAUUCGCAAGAACCGAGGGUUCGAAUCCCUCCCCCUCCGCCA
rnacentral:tRNA from 1 species